rnacentral:rRNA from 1 species
CGUGUAGGCGGUUUCGUAUGUCUGGCGUGAAAGCCCCGGGCUCAACCCGGGAAGUGCGUUGGAAACUGCGAAACUAGAGUCUCGGAGAGGAAGGUGGAAUUCCAGGUGUAGCGGUGAAAUGCGUAGAUAUCUGGAAGAACACCGGUGGCGAAGGCGGCCUUCUGGACGAUGACUGACGCUGAGACGCGAAAGCGUGGGGAGCAAACAGGAUUAGAUACCCUGGUAGUCCACGCCAUAAACGAUGGGAACUAGGUGUCGCGGGUAUUGACCCCUGCGGUGCCGCAGCUAACGCAUUAAGUUCCCCGCCUGGGGACUACGGCCGCAAGGUUAAA